UACGUAGGUGGCAAGCGUUGUCCGGAUUUACUGGGUGUAAAGGGCGUGCAGCCGGGCUGACAAGUCAGAUGUGAAAUCCCGCGGCUCAACCGCGGAACUGCAUUUGAAACUGUCAGUCUCGAGUACCGGAGAGGUCAUCGGAAUUCCUUGUGUAGCGGUGAAAUGCGUAGAUAUAAGGAAGAACACCAGUGGCGAAGGCGGAUGACUGGACGGCAACUGACGGUGAGGCGCGAAAGCGUGGGGAGCAAACAGG
rnacentral:rRNA from 1 species